rnacentral:tRNA from 1 species
GCCUCCUUAGCUCAGUUGGUAGAGCGCAGCUCUCAUAAGGCUAAGGUCAUCAGUUCGAUCCUGAUAGGGGGCA